rnacentral:lncRNA from 1 species
UCUUAUCUCAAUAAGUGUUGUGAAUAUGGCACAAGCAACAUAGGAAGCCAACCUAAAUGCUUUACGAUGUGUGGUGAAUAUAUCUAUUCUCAGUUUACAAUAGAUUUAACUUUGCUUUUCAUCUUCUUAGGAGAAUAACAAUCAAUUCCACCGCAGCAAUAUCUCCAUCAAGAUAUAAUCCAAGUUCUCCACAUUAGAGUGACCAUGAUGUCCAGUUUAAUUCUUACCAAUUUCAACAAUAAGUAUUUAUAUUCCGGUGAAAUUAAGAAAUCAACUUGUAAAUAAAUGGAACCCUCAAACCCAUCAGUGUACACACACACACAGUUGUAUAUUUAUGUAUGUAUGCAUGUACCCACAUGUGUCUACACUGUGAUCUAUACACACACAGACGAAGGUGGCUUCAUAUGAAAAAGGAAGUGAACAAAUUAAUAUAACCACUUGCUUACUGGGAAAUUUAAAGUGGUUUUAUCCAACAACCUUGAGAAAAACCCUCCUUAUGUUGUGAGAAGCAAAGAUGUCACCAGUGGCACAUUUUACAAAAGGCAACUUUUCAGAUUUUCUCAAGUUUUUCAUAUAUUUCAUCAAAUAUCUUUUUACAGAGCAAGGAUGAAAUACUUUCAGUGGUGGAUAUGAAAACUGUACUUAUAGGAAAUACUGAAAAAGUAUUGCAGAAGUAGAAAAUACAAUUUUUUUUUCUCUUUUGGUGGAUAAUUAACUUCA